GUGCCAGCCGCCGCGGUAAUACGUAGGUGGCAAGCGUUGUCCGGAUUUAUUGGGCGUAAAGCGAGCGCAGGCGGUUUCUUAAGUCUGAUGUGAAAGCCCCCGGCUUAACCGGGGAGGGUCAUUGGAAACUGAGGAACUUGAGUGCAGAAGAGGAGAGUGGAGUUCCAUGUGUAGCGGUGAAAUGCGUAGAUAUAUGGAGGAACACCAGUGGCGAAGGCGACUCUCUGGUCUGUAACUGACGCUGAGGCUCGAAAGCGUGGGGAGCAAACAGGAUUAGAAACCCCCGUAGUCC
rnacentral:rRNA from 1 species